UUUUAUGGAGAGUUUGAUCCUGGCUCAGGAUGAACGCUGGCGGCGUGCCUAAUACAUGCAAGUCGAGCGAACGGACGAGAAGCUUGCUUCUCUGAUGUUAGCGGCGGACGGGUGAGUAACACGUGGAUAACCUACCUAUAAGACUGGGAUAACUUCGGGAAACCGGAGCUAAUACCGGAUAAUAUUUUGAACCGCAUGGUUCAAAAGUGAAAGACGGUCUUGCUGUCACUUAUAGAUGGAUCCGCGCUGCAUUAGCUAGUUGGUAAGGUAACGGCUUACCAAGGCAACGAUGCAUAGCCGACCUGAGAGGGUGAUCGGCCACACUGGAACUGAGACACGGUCCAGACUCCUACGGGAGGCAGCAGUAGGGAAUCUUCCGCAAUGGGCGAAAGCCUGACGGAGCAACGCCGCGUGAGUGAUGAAGGUCUUCGGAUCGUAAAACUCUGUUAUUAGGGAAGAACAUAUGUGUAAGUAACUGUGCACAUCUUGACGGUAGCUAAUCAGAAAGCCACGGCUAACUACGUGCCAGCAGCCGCGGUAAUACGUAGGUGGCAAGUGUUAUCCGGAAUUUUUGGGCGUAAAGCGCGCGUAGGCGGUUUUUUACGUGUGAUGUGAAAGCCCACGUCUCAAACGUGGAGGAUCAUUGGAAGCUGGAAAACUUGAGUGCAGAAGAGGAAAGUGGAAUUCCAUGUGUAGCGGUAAAAUGCGCAGAGAUAUGGAGGAACACCAGUGGCGAAGGCGACUUUCUGGUCUGUAACUGACGCUGAUGUGCGAAAGCGUGGGGAUCAAACAGGAUUAGAUACCCUGGUAGUCCACGCCGUAAACGAUGAGUGCUAAGUGUUAGGGGGUUUCCGCCCCUUAGUGCUGCAGCUAACGCAUUAAGCACUCCGCCUGGGGAGUACGACCGCAAGGUUGAAACUCAAAGGAAUUGACGGGGACCCGCACAAGCGGUGGAGCAUGUGGUUUAAUUCGAAGCAACGCGAAGAACCUUACCAAAUCUUGACAUCCUUUGACAACUCUAGAGAUAGAGCUUUCCCCUUCGGGGGACAAAGUGACAGGUGGUGCAUGGUUGUCGUCAGCUCGUGUCGUGAGAUGUUGGGUUAAGUCCCGCAACGAGCGCAACCCUUAAGCUUAGUUGCCAUCAUUAAGUUGGGCACUCUAAGUUGACUGCCGGUGACAAACCGGAGGAAGGUGGGGAUGACGUCAAAUCAUCAUGCCCCUUAUGAUUUGGGCUACACACGUGCUACAAUGGACAAUACAAAGGGCAGCGAAACCGCGAGGUCAAGCAAAUCCCAUAAAGUUGUUCUCAGUUCGGAUUGUAGUCUGCAACUCGACUACAUGAAGCUGGAAUCGCUAGUAAUCGUAGAUCAGCAUGCUACGGUGAAUACGUUCCCGGGUCUUGUACACACCGCCCGUCACACCACGAGAGUUUGUAACACCCGAAGCCGGUGGAGUAACCUUUUAGGAGCUAGCCGUCGAAGGUGGGACAAAUGAUUGGGGUGAAGUCGUAACAAGGUAGCCGUAUCGGAAGGUGCGGCUGGAUCACCUCCUUUCU
rnacentral:rRNA from 1 species